CGUGUAGGCGGCCAAGCAAGUCGGACGUGAAAGCCCACGGCUCAACCGUGGAAGUGCGCUCGAAACUGCAUGGCUAGAGUCCUGGAGAGGAAGGUGGAAUGCUUGGUGUAGAGGUGAAAUUCGUAGAUAUCAAGCGGAACACCGGUGGCGAAGGCGGCCUUCUGGACAGUGACUGACGCUGAGACGCGAAAGCGUGGGGAGCAAACA
rnacentral:rRNA from 1 species